rnacentral:rRNA from 1 species
UACGUAGGGUGCGAGCGUUGUCCGGAAUUACUGGGCGUAAAGAGCUCGUAGGUGGUUUGUCGCGUUGUUCGUGAAAACUCACAGCUUAACUGUGGGCGUGCGGGCGAUACGGGCAGACUGGAGUACUGCAGGGGAGACUGGAAUUCCUGGUGUAGCGGUGAAAUGCGUAGAUAUCAGGAGGAACACCGGUGGCGAAGGCGGAUCUCUGGGCCUUACCUGACGCUCAGGUGCGAAAGCUAGGGGGAGCGAACAGG